UACUGGUGGCGAGCGGCGGACGGGUGAGUAAUGCCUAGGAAUCUGCCUGGUAGUGGGGGAUAACGCUCGGAAACGGACGCUAAUACCGCAUACGUCCUACGGGAGAAAGCAGGGGACCUUCGGGCCUUGCGCUAUCAGAUGAGCCUAGGUCGGAUUAGCUAGUUGGUGAGGUAAUGGCUCACCAAGGCGACGAUCCGUAACUGGUCUGAGAGGAUGAUCAGUCACACUGGAACUGAGACACGGUCCAGACUCCUACGGGAGGCAGCAGUGGGGAAUAUUGGACAAUGGGCGAAAGCCUGAUCCAGCCAUGCCGCGUGUGUGAAGAAGGUCUUCGGAUUGUAAAGCACUUUAAGUUGGGAGGAAGGGCAGUUACCUAAUACGUAUCUGUUUUGACGUUACCGACAGAAUAAGCACCGGCUAACUCUGUGCCAGCAGCCGCGGUAAUACAGAGGGUGCAAGCGUUAAUCGGAAUUACUGGGCGUAAAGCGCGCGUAGGUGGUUUGUUAAGUUGAAUGUGAAAUCCCCGGGCUCAACCUGGGAACUGCAUCCAAAACUGGCAAGCUAGAGUA
rnacentral:rRNA from 1 species